CCUUAUCUGCUCGGUAAGAACCUUUAAAACCCCUGCGGCUCUUUCGCCCGUUUGUAAUUCCGUGAGUUUCUUCAAGACGCCACCAAGUUCCGGCUCCUUCUCCACGAGAUAAACCUCAUGCCCUGCGUUUGCAAUCUCAAGAGCAGCAGUCAUCCCGGAUACGCCUCCACCGAUAACAAGUGCCGCAGGUAUAACGGGAUACAGCUCGAUAGCAUGGCCUCCAAGGCGUCGCAAGCCCUCAACCGCCAUAGCGAUGAGGUUCUCUGCCACCUCUGUCGCUUCUUCUUUGUCAUGCACCCAUCCACAGUGCUCCCUUAUGUUCGCGAAAUCCAGCAGAGAGGGAUUCAGCCCUGCCUCCGCACACGCGGCUCUGAACAUAUUUUCAUGCCCUCUCGGUGUGCAUCCGGCAAAUACAACCCUGUUCAGGCGGUGGUCU
rnacentral:rRNA from 1 species